rnacentral:rRNA from 1 species
CGCGAGUCAUCAGCUCGCAUUGAUUACGUCCCUGCCCUUUGUACACACCGCCCGUCGCACCUACCGAUUGAAUGUUUCGGUGAAGAUUCCGGACUGUGGCUCGCGUGCUUCACGGCGCUCUUGCCGUGGGAAGUUAUCUAAACCUCAACAUUUAGAGGAAGGUGAAGUCGUAACAAGGUUUCCGUAGGUGAACCUGCGGAAGGAUCAUUACCGAAAGCGGGUUCGUUCAAUCCCCCCCGCUCUAUAAAUUGUCUGUGAGGCCGCUUCGUGCGGCCUCUUUACCCCGAGAAAGAAUUCGUUAUGCGAAGUUGGGCGAGGGGCGCCUCGCCGAGAGCCUGUGAAAAGGCCCUCGAAUCAAAGCGCACCCCACAUUUCAACCCAUUAAACUCUGAAUCUGAACUCAAAGGGGCGCUGCGCUAGCCGCGGCUCCCCCAACCUUUAACGUUGUAAAACUUUCAGCGACGGAUGUCUUGGCUCCCACAACGAUGAAGAACGCAGCGAAAUGCGAUACGUCUUGCGACUUGCAGAAUCCAGUGAAUCAUCAAAACUUUGAACGCAUCUUGCGCUUCCGGGAUACUCCUGGGAGCAUGCUUGUCGGAGUGUCUGUUGACACCACUCGCCCCUCUUCUCUCCUGUCUCACGACGGGGGAGUCGCGGCGGCGGACUUUGAGUGUUCCGGAGUUCCCAUGCUCCGAGUGCACCUAAUCUCGUGAACGAAGCCUCUCGCGCCCUGCCGCACAGAGUUGUUGACGGCGCUCGCUUCGGCGGCGACUCUCGACUCACCAAACGUGCGCAGGAUGCCUGCCUCAUUCCGGCGCUCCGACGCCGACCCUUCUGGGUCAGCGUUGGAAACCGUACCACUUUCGUUCGGACCUCCGAUCAAGCAAGAGGACCCGCAGAAUUUAAGCAUAUAACUAAGCGGAGGAAAAGAAACUAACCAGGAUUCCCCCAGUACGGCGAGUGAAGCU